AGUUUAUGAGCUUGUUAAGCAUGUAUUUUGAAAAUACAAGAAAGAGAUUAAUUCUCUAUAAACUU
rnacentral:tRNA from 1 species